UAAAACAUGUUUCUGAAUCAAAGUAAAGUCCAAUAUUUCAGAAUCCCAUCUGGAAUCUCUGCUGGAUCCAUGUGUGAGAAUCCUGAUGACAGAGAUCCAUGUUCCUGUUGGAGUCAGUGGUUGCAUUUCCAUAGAAACACUUUGCAUCAGCAGCUCCAUGCUCCAGUGCUCUGGGAGACUUUAUAGUCCUGAGAGUUGAAGACUGGAUGACUGACAGCUGUCCUUCAUCACAGCAGAAGACACAGAAAUCCUCCUCCUCCUCCUCAUCACUAAAAGCAUGACUUUGAUCUGCGUCCUCAUCUGGACUCUCCUCUGCUUCAUUCAGGGUUCUGUUGGACAAAAUGUUGUUGUGACUCAGCCAGCAGCUAAAUCAGUGCAGCUCGGUCAGACCGUCUCUAUUGACUGUAAGGCCAGUCAGACAGUAGAUUGGUAUUAUGGUUCACAAUACUUUCUUGCCUGGUACCAUCAGAAAUCUGGAGAAACUCCUAAAGCUCUGAUCUAUUUAACAUCAAACAGCUUUUCAGGAAUCUCCUCCAGAUUCAGUGGAACAGGAAAUGGAAUUGACUUCACUCUGACCAUCAGUGGAGUCCAGGCUGAAGAUUCAGGAGUUUAUUACUGUCAGAGUUAUCACGAGAUCAACAGUCAGUAUGUGUUCACACAGUGAAAAGUCGUCGUACAAAAACCUCCUCCAUCAGAAUGAACUGAAACUCAUUUGAAUGUUUCUGCCUCAAGUUCUUCCAGAAACUGAAACUCUGAUUUACUGUAGAAACAC